GGAUUUUACUCUUUAUAUUUUUUUUAAUUUGUUUUUUCUCUCUCUCUCUCUUUCCCCUAGUUUCUAUGCUGCCAUCCAUCAAACCCAGUUCUCCGUCUAUCACCACCAAGCUUCCAAAGAGAAAGAACGAGAGAAAAGAAAAGAGAGGACUGCCGGGAGACUAUCGGAAAUCACAGAAGGCGAUGAGUCUUCGGUCGUCUAGGCGAUGGGAGGUAAAGCUGGAGGUCGUCUAGACGAUAAGGGACAAGUCGUCUAGACGAUGAAGGCUUUACUCAAGAUCCUCUAGACGAAGGCAUCUAAACGAUGGUCGUCUACACGAUGAGGCUUGCAGAAGUAAACGAUCAUUGGCUAAAAGCUAAACGAUCGUUUGCUAAAAGCUACACAAUCGGUGGGUCAGAGGUAUACGAUAGAAGAAGACGGUCGGGAAGAAGAAGAACACGAUAGUUUUACGUGAUUCGGCCAAGAAAGGCCUACGUCCACGGAGAAGCUGACGGGAGUUUUAUUCCAGAUUGCUUCAAGAUAAGUUUGAUCACUCAAUUACAAUUUGCAUUCUCUCUUUACAAUUAGUUACACAAUGUAUUUAAAGAUAGCUUGAUUUGUAACAGGUUUUGUAACUGAAUGAAGUUAUUUUCACCUUUCUGUAUAA